CCUACGGGAGGCAGCAGUGAGGAAUAUUGGUCAAUGGACGAGAGUCUGAACCAGCCAAGUAGCGUGAAGGAUGACUGCCCUAUGGGUUGUAAACUUCUUUUAUAUGGGAAUAAAACGUUCCACGUGUGGGAUUUUGUAUGUACCAUAUGAAUAAGGAUCGGCUAACUCCGUGCCAGCAGCCGCGGUAAUACGGAGGAUCCGAUCGUUAUCCGGAUUUAUUGGGUUUAAAGGGAGCGUAGGUGGAUUGUUAAGUCAGUUGUGAAAGUUUGCGGCUCAACCGUAAAAUUGCAGUUGAAACUGGCAGUCUUGAGUACAGUAGAGGUGGGCGGAAUUCGUGGUGUAGCGGUGAAAUGCUUAGAUAUCACGAAGAACUGCGAUUGCGAAGGCAGUUCACUGGACUGCAACUGACACUGAGGCUCGAAAGUGUGGGUAUCAAACAGGAUUAGAUACCCUUGUAGUC
rnacentral:rRNA from 1 species